AUAAAGAAGCACUUGAGUGUUUCAAGUUUUUCCAACAGAACCAGCUUCUUGAGUUUUCGAGACAUCUUUUUAGCAGUCAAGUGCUCUUCUUCACUUUCACGAAUUCCCAACUUCUUCAGUUUGGGCAUGCCUUUGAAGAUGCGCCUUUUGAUACUACCAAAGGUAAUGUAAGAGAGGGUUUGUAGCUUGGUUAAUCCCAGAUUAGAGCGACUAAACUCACUCGGAUGAUAAGAAAAGGUUGGCCACCUGGUUAAUCCAAGAUUAGAGCGACUAGACGUGCCUUGAUGAUCUUUUUGUUCAGAUUGAACAUAACGAAAGUAGCAGCAUUUCCUGAAAUAGAGAUGCCUUAAUGGUUCAAUCUCCCAUAUCUCUGCCGGCAAACAAAUACUAGCCUGGUGACUGUAACGAAUUAGUGUCUGAAGAUACCUAAGAUUGCAUAUUGAUGGAGGGAGCAUAGUAAAACUGGCAAGGGCAAGAUACCUCAGUGAAAAUAGUUGCCAUAUUUCACAUGGUAGAUGGUCAAAUGGCUGAAAAGAUAU
rnacentral:misc_RNA from 1 species